CUUGAAAACUCUCACUGCUAGCUCAAGCUAAAAUCAUAGUGCCUUUUGACCCACCUAUAAAUCUUUAACUGUCCCAAAAUCAAUGGUAAACAAAGUGCGCCGAUGAAUUCCGCCAUUUGAAAUUCCAUGCUAAAGUGGUUCCUAAUGGUAUGGUGCUUCACUGUUUUUAAGAGGGAAAUCUAGAAAAAUUUGAAGUACGAAAAUCUUGCGAGGCAUUCAAUUUUAAAAAGCAAAAGAAAGGCAAAAAGAUUUUGAAAAUAUCCAUUUCAUUUUGCGGAUUCCGAGAAGUAAAAGAUGUGGGUCCCUGACGUUACCCGUUCAGACAUCCAAGCUGUCUUCCUCAAACCCUCAAAGCAAACGUCAUAUUUGCGUUUUUCCAUAGUAAUCAAUUUCGUACUGAAAUAAGAAGCCAAGCUAAAGUAAAAAACUGAAGAUCCCGAAGCUACGGAUAUCCGUUUCUUUCUGUAUUUUCACAUCAAUUACCAGAUAACAAGAAAGCUGCAGAAAUAGUCUUGUAAUCAAAUGUUCUCUGGAUUACCAAAUUAUUGCUAUCUCCUUUUCUUGUGUUUACUUCUCUGCUUGACAGCAGCUAGUUUAGCAGGAGACCCUUAUAUAUAUUAUGACUGGACUGUUUCCUACAUUACAGCUGCUCCUCUUGGUGUUAAGCAGCAGGUGAUUGGAAUAAAUGGUCAAUUUCCAGGACCCAUUCUCAGUGUCACUACCAACUGGAAUGUGGUUGUCAAUGUUAAAAAUGAUCUUGAUGAGCCUAUGCUUCUUACAUGGAAUGGCAUUCAGCAGAGAAAGGAUUCAUGGCAAGAUGGUGUAUCUGGCACAAAUUGUCCCAUUCCUGCUGGCUGGAAUUGGACCUAUGAAUUUCAGGUUAAAGAUCAGAUAGGCAGUUUCUUUUAUUUCCCUUCGUUAAGCUUCCAGAGAGCUGCUGGUGGAUAUGGAGGGAUCACUAUAAAUAACAGAGAUGUCAUUCCUCUGCCAUUUGCGACACCAGAUGGGGACAUCACACUCAUUAUUAGUGACUGGUUUGUGAAGAGUCAUAAGGAACUCAGACAAGAAAUUGAAAAUGGAGUUGGUCUUGGAGCUCCUGAUGGUAUCCUUUUCAAUGGACUAGGUCCUUACCGUUAUGAUAAUGCUGUUGUGUCAGGUAGUAUUGCCUACCAGACAGUGAAUGUAGAACCAGGCAAAACAUACCGCCUUCGAGUACACAAUGUUGGUGUUUCAACUAGCUUGAAUUUCAGAAUCCAAAGUCAUAACCUUCUUCUUGUGGAGACUGAAGGUUCAUACACAGUACAACAGAACUACACAAGCUUGGAUAUCCAUGUUGGUCAGUCAUAUUCAUUCCUGGUCACAAUGGAUCAAAAUGCCAGCAGUGAUUAUUACAUUGUGGCCAGUCCACGCUUUGUUAAUUCCUCUGAUUCAUCAAAGUCAGUAGGAGUCUCUGUCUUGCAUUACUCAAAUUCACAAGGACCGGCUUCAGGUCCUCUUCCAGACCCUCCUAACGAAUCUGACACAUAUUUCUCAAUGAGUCAAGCAAGAUCCAUAAGAUGGAAUGUUUCUGCUGGUGCUGCACGGCCGAACCCCCAAGGAUCCUUCAAAUAUGGUGAAAUCACUGUCACUGAUGUCUUUGUCCUUCAUAAUAGGCCUGCAGAGCUAAUUGAGGGGAAGUGGCGCACUACUCUCAGUGGUAUUUCAUACUUAGCACCAUCAACACCUCUAAACCUCGCACAGCAAUUUAAUAUCCCAGGUGUUUUCAAGCUUGACUUCCCUAAUAAAAUGAUGAACAGGCCAGCAAAAGUUGAUACGUCCGUAAUUAAUGGUACUUACAAAGCAUUCGUGGAAAUCAUAUUCCAAAACAAUGAUACAACUGUUCAGAGCUAUCAUCUUGAUGGCUAUGCCUUUUUUGUUGUCGGUAUGGACAACGGGCUAUGGACAGAGAAUAGUAGAAGCACCUACAACAAAUGGGACGGUGUUGCUCGAUGCACUACCCAGGUGUUUCCAGGUGCUUGGACUGCCAUUUUAGUCUUCCUAGACAAUGCAGGCAUUUGGAAUUUACGUGCUCAAAACCUUGACUCGUGGUACCUUGGCCAAGAAACUUAUGUUAGUGUGGUGAAUCCGGAGAUCACAGAGCUUCCAGUUCCAGCAAACACCAUCUUUUGUGGUGCACUUUCACCUUUACAGAAGGACCAAGCACGGAGAGUAAAUUUCUCAACUGCACCAUCGUUGACAAAAGCAAUCAAGCUGAUCUUUAUAGGUUUUGUUGUGUGUUGCUGCUUGGAAGUUUUAUGAGAGAGCAAAUUGACCAAAAAGCAGAAGAAAGGGAAAACUGUUUGUAAGAUGAGACGGUGACAGUAGUGUAGUGUGUGUAGGUAAUAUUUUGAAUUUUACACGUGAUGAACCAGAAGAGGAGCCUUGGAGUAAGUGGUAAAGUUGCUGCCAUGUGAUCAGGAGGUUACGGGUUCAAGCUUUGGAAACAGCCUCUGGCAGAAAUGCAAGGACUCAGACCAAGGAGAGGAUGGUGAUUAUUCCGAGUAACUUAUGACUGAUUUUUGGCCUUGGGUGAUCCAGAAAGUUGUUAUGACUGGAAGUUCGAAGGCUCCGUGAUUAUCUAGAAUCAUUGAAGGGUUUUGGUGAACUUGUGUGCUUGUAUGCACUGCACAAGGGCUAAGAUGGUUGUAUUUGCAGAUCAUAUGGCAGAUGAACUUUAGAUUUGCUCCCUUCUUGUUGUAUGUUAGGAUCUUUUAGUACAUUUGACUAGCUUAAGGACACAGAACAUUAGUUUUUGCCCUCUCAUUCUUAUGCCUACAUAAUUGCAGCUUGCCUAGUUCUUUUCAUUGUAGCUGUCCGCAUUAUUUGUCUCUAUAAAUUGAAAUUAAUCAUGUGGCAUUUUCA